rnacentral:tRNA from 1 species
AGGAAAUUAGUCCAAUUAAAGACCUCUGAUUUCGGCUCAGAAAACCACGGUUAAAACCCGUGAUUUACCUU